UACGGAGGGUGCAAGCGUUAUCCGGAUUCACUGGGUUUAAAGGGUGCGUAGGUGGGUUUGUAAGUCAGUGGUGAAAUCUCCAGGCUUAACUUGGAAACUGCCAUUGAUACUAUCAAUCUUGAAUACCGUGGAGGUCAGCGGAAUAUGUCAUGUAGCGGUGAAAUGCUUAGAUAUGACAUAGAACACCAAUUGCGAAGGCAGCUGGCUACACGAAUAUUGACACUGAUGCACGAAAGCGUGGGGAUCAAACAGG
rnacentral:rRNA from 1 species